rnacentral:rRNA from 1 species
UAGCGGCAGGCCUAACACAUGCAAGUCGAACGGUAACAGAGGGAGCUUGCUCCCUGCUGACGAGUGGCGCACGGGUGCGUAACGCGUAUACAACCUACCUUUUACAGGGGGAUAGCCUUUAGAAAUGAAGAUUAAUACCCCAUAGUAAGUGACUGUGGCAUCACGGACACUUUAAAGCUUCGGCGGUAAGAGAUGGGUAUGCGUCCUAUUAGCUGGAUGGUGUGGUAACGGCAUACCAUGGCGACGAUAGGUAGGGGCCCUGAGAGGGGGAUCCCCCACACUGGUACUGAGACACGGACCAGACUCCUACGGGAGGCAGCAGUGAGGAAUAUUGGACAAUGGAGGGAACUCUGAUCCAGCCAUGCCGCGUGCAGGAAGACUGCCCUAUGGGUUGUAAACUGCUUUUAUACGGGAAGAAACCGCCCUACGUGUAGGGCUCUGACGGUACCGUAAGAAUAAGGAUCGGCUAACUCCGUGCCAGCAGCCGCGGUAAUACGGAGGAUCCAAGCGUUAUCCGGAAUCAUUGGGUUUAAAGGGUCCGUAGGUGGAUGAUUAAGUCAGAGGUGAAAGUCUGCAGCUCAACUGUAGAAUUGCCUUUGAUACUGGUCGUCUUGAGUUAUUGUGAAGUAGUUAGAAUAU